UUUCCGUAGGUGAACCUGCGGAAGGAUCAUUAAAAAUUGGACUCCAUUGGUGAGUUCAUUAAUAAUCCCUACCCUUUGUGAAUUUGUUUGUUUGAAUAAUUUUUUUUCCAAAAAAAAUUAUUGAAUGUCUUUCCAUGUUUUGGUGGAGCUUGUAAAGUGAAACCAGGCAGGGGAAUGGCAAACAAUAAUUAUUUUUGAAAAAGACCUUUUUUUAAAAUUAAACUUUUUGUAUUCAUUUGUCUAAAAUUAAUUUUAUAAUAUAAAAACAACUUUUGACAAUGGAUCUCUUGGUUCUCGCAACGAUGAAGAACGCAGCAAAAUGCGAUAAGUAGUGUGAAUCGCAGAAUACGUGAAUCAUCGAAUCUUCGAACGCAUAUUGCACUCUUUUAGUUUACUAAAAAAGUAUGUCUGUUUGAGUAUCAGUAAAAUAUUCUCAUAAAAAACAUUGUUUUUUUAUGGUUAUGAGUGUUUUACAACGAUAACAAGUUGUUUCACUUCAAAUCUUUGUUAUCAAAAAAAUCAUUAAAAGCUAAUUUUAAAGAUUUUUAAAAUUGGAUAAAAUUUUCCCGUAAAAAGGAAUAACCUAAACAAUUUUAAAAAAUUAAAAUUGGUUUGAUUUUUUUUGAAACCCAAAGGAAAAAAAAACGAAAUUAACUUGAUCUCAAAUCAGAUAAGAGUACCCGCUGAACUUAAGCAUAUCAAUAAGCGGAGGAAAAGAAACUAACUAGGAUUCCCUCAGUAACGGCGAGUGAAGCGGGAAGAGCUCAAAUUUGAAAUCUUCAAGGUUUUACCUUGACGAAUUGUAGUUUAAAGAAGUGUUUCUGUUGGAGUUUUGGUAAAAGUUCUUUGGAAAAGGACAUCAUAGAGGGUGAGAAUCCCGUAUUUGACCAUUAUCUCCAGCUUUGUGAUACACUUUCAAAGAGUCGGAUUGUUUGGGAAUGCAGUCCAAAAUGGGUGGUAAAUUUCAUCUAAAGCUAAAUACUGGCGAGAGACCGAUAGCGAACAAGUACCGUGAGGGAAAGAUGAAAAGAACUUUGAAAAGAGAGUUAAACAGUACGUGAAAUUGUCAAAAGGGAAGCGUUUGACACCAGUGUUGUUUUCUCGAAAAUCAAUUAAAAAAGGCCGGAUUUUGUGUUGUAUUGACUUUAUCAGCUUUCUGCACUCUUUUCUUGUCUUUUUUAAUGCACUUUUCGUUUAACAAGUCAACAUCAAUUUCUUUUGUUGUAAAAGGGUCAUUGGAAGGUGGCUUUCUUUUCGGAGAAGUGUUUAUAGCCUUUGGCCUCUGCAAUCGGAGAGAUUGAGGUCUGCAGCGUAGAUCCUUCGGGGUUAGAUACAUUUGUGCUAAGUUAUAGCCUUUCAUAGACAACUUGUUGACUAUGAUCAGUCAUGUAGCUUACUCGCUCAUGCUAUUUUACCUACGCUUAGGAUGUUGAG
rnacentral:misc_RNA from 1 species